CCCUUAGAUGUUCUGGGCCGCACGCGCGCUACACUGACUACUUCAACGAGUUGUUUCCUUGAUCGAAAGGUCUGGGUAAUCUUUGAAAGGUAGUCGUGAUGGGGAUAGAUCCUUGCAAUUUUUGAUCUUCAACGAGGAAUUCCUAGUAAACGCAAGUCAUCAGCUUGCAUUGAUUACGUCCCUGCCCUUUGUACACACCGUCCGUCGCACCUACCGAUUGAAUGGUCCGGUGAAUCUUUAGGACUGUGGCUGAGGCCUUGCCUUGUGCGGGUCUGGCCGUGGGAAUUUAGUUAAACCUUACCAUUUAGAGGAAGGUGAAGUCGUAACA
rnacentral:rRNA from 1 species